GUCAACGGCUAUACCAUGCUGAAAGUAUAGGUGCUCGUCUGAUCACCGUAGCCAAGCAGCAUCGGAUGCGGUCAGCAAUUUAAGGGUGACCACAUGGGAAUACCGCGCGUUGCUGACA
rnacentral:rRNA from 1 species